rnacentral:rRNA from 1 species
UGUGCCAGCAGCCGCGGUAAUACGGAGGGUGCGAGCGUUAAUCGGAAUUACUGGGCGUAAAGGGCGCGUAGGCGGCGUGAUCAGUCAGAUGUGAAAGCCCCGGGCUUAACCUGGGAACUGCAUUUGAUACUGUCAGGCUAGAGUUUGAUAGAGGGGAGUGGAAUUUCCGGUGUAGCGGUGAAAUGCGUAGAGAUCGGAAGGAACACCAGUGGCGAAGGCGACUCCCUGGAUUAAAACUGACGCUGAGGUGCGAAAGCGUGGGUAGCAAACAGGAUUAGAUACCCUGGUAGUCCACGCUGUAAACGAUGAGAACUAGCCGUUGGACGCGAACAAGUGUUCAGUGGCGCAGCUAACGCGAUAAGUUCUCCGCCUGGGGAGUACGGCCGCAAGGUUAAAACUCAAAUGAACUGACGGGGGCCCGCACAAGCGGUGGAGCAUGUGGUUUAAUUCGAUGCAACGCGAAGAACCUUACCUGCCCUUGACAUCCAGAGAAUCUGUUAGAGAUAGCGGAGUGCCUUCGGGAACUCCAAGACAGGUGCUGCAUGGCUGUCGUCAGCUCGUGUCGUGAGGUGUUGGGUUAAGUCCCGCAACGAGCGCAACCCUUGCCAUUAGUUGCUACAUUCAGUUGAGCACUCUAAUGGGACUGCCGGUGACAAACCGGAGGAAGGUGGGGAUGACGUCAAGUCCUCAUGGCCCUUAUGGGUAGGGCUACACACGUCAUACAAUGGCGCGUACAGAGGGUUGCCAACCCGCGAGGGGGAGCCAAUCCCAGAAAGCGCGUCGUAGUCCGGAUUGAAGUCUGCAACUCGACUUCAUGAAGUCGGAAUCGCUAGUAAUCGCAGAUCAGCAUGCUGCGGUGAAUACGUUCCCGGGCCUUGUACACACCGCCCGUCACACCAUGGGAGUGGGUUUCACCAGAAGCAGGUUGCCU